ACUAGAAAAACUUAGCGGCGAACGGGUGAGUAACACGUAAAGAACCUGCCUCAUAGACUGGGACAACUAUUGGAAACGAUAGCUAAUACCGGAUAACAGUAUUUCUCGCAUGAGAGAUAUUUAAAAGUUGGUUAUGCUAACACUAUGAGAUGGCUUUGCGGUGCAUUAGCUAGUUGGUGGGGUAAAGGCCCACCAAGGCGACGAUGCAUAGCCGACCUGAGAGGGUGAUCGGCCACACUGGGACUGAGACACGGCCCAGACUCCUACGGGAGGCAGCAGUAGGGAAUCUUCCGCAAUGGGCGAAAGCCUGACGGAGCAACGCCGCGUGAGUGAAGAAGGAUUUCGGUUCGUAAAGCUCUGUUGUUAGGGAAGAAUGGAUAUGUAGUAACUAUACAUAUAAGAGACGGUACCUAACCAGAAAGCCACGGCUAACUACGUGCCAGCAGCCGCGGUAAUACGUAGGUGGCAAGCGUUGUCCGGAAUUAUUGGGCGUAAAGCGCGCGCAGGUGGUUUAAUAAGUCUGAUGUGAAAGCCCACGGCUCAACCGUGGAGGGUCAUUGGAAACUGUUAAACUUGAGUGCAGGAGAGAAAAGUGGAAUUCCUAGUGUAGCGGUGAAAUGCGUAGAGAUUAGGAGGACACCAGUGGCGAAGGCGGCUUUUUGGCC
rnacentral:rRNA from 1 species